GCCUGUUUGUCUGUGUGGGUGGUCAUGUAUGAGUCUUUGUCUGUCUUCUCCUUAUGUAAUGUCAGGUGGAAGUUCGGAGCCAAGCGCUGCAGAGGCCAACCCACAUCCUUCUCCCACGCAGCUCUGUGAAGCAGUUACACACAUCAAUCGGGGAAAACGCUCAGCGCUCAGCACCGUUGGAGCAGAGUGCUGUCCUGAAAACUUCUGUGAUCCUGAAGAUUAAAAGGGGAUUAUGGGUGAGUAAUGGGUUUUUCAGGUAAAUCUGUGUACACACACAGCACAUUAAUUGUUCAGGUUCAGUUCUUCUGCUUGAGACAAACACCUGCACAUUUAUGUUUGACACUCUUAUUUGUCAUUUCUUGAAGCUAUUGCUGCUGAGAUCCCUGAACAAGCUGCCAUAGCAAUCUUCUGUAUACUCUUUCAUAUAUAUGCCGCCUCCAUCCCUGCUCCCCCUGCACACGUUUCCCCACUGAAACUUACCCAGCAAGGUUAUGCCAGAACUGAAUUUGACUCACUGGUGUUGACUGCUUUGCAAUGCCUGCUCAAUUUUCAUUUUCCCUAAAGGCCAAAGUUAAGAUUACUCAGAACGCAUACUCACGAUGGCUUUGGCA
rnacentral:lncRNA from 1 species